UACGUAGGGGGCAAGCGUUGUCCGGAUUCAUUGGGCGUAAAGAGCGUGUAGGCGGCCAGGUAGGUCGGUUGUGAAAACUGGAGGCUCAACCUUCAGACGUCGACCGAAACCAUCUGGCUAGAGUCCGGGAGAGGAGAGUGGAAUUCCUGGUGUAGCGGUGAAAUGCGCAGAUAUCAGGAAGAACACCCGUGGCGAAAGCGGCUCUCUGGAACGGUACUGACGCUGAGGUGCGAAAGCGUGGGGAGCGAACAGG
rnacentral:rRNA from 1 species